UCAGGCGAUCCACCCACCUCAGCCUCCCAAAGUACUGGGAUUACAGGCAUGAGCCACCGCACCCGGCCAACCAUGAUUUUUUAAAAUGUGCAUUCAUAAGGGAGUGAGCUAACACAGAAACUCAUGGGAUUAGCAUAAAGAAACAUUUCUUUCUAAGGGAAAUGUAUGAGUCAUUUUUUUUUUUCUUAUAAGACUGCUGUGAGUCAAGUUCUAUGGCCAAAUUCUGGAUGAAUACAGGAUUUAUAAACACUUGAUAUAUUGUACAAGCUGUAGAAAGACUUCCUAUUGGGCAAUGGUAUCUUUGCGGAAUUUGUUUUUUAUACUGGGAAGCAAAAGUUCCACAGGGAACAAGUUAACUCCUAAGGUUUAGUCACUGGAAACUGCAAAAGACGAAAGCCUACAAAGAUGAAAGAACAGACACUUUAGAGCUCCCUGAUGGACAGGAAUCCUACUCAUCAGAGCUCUUCCUCUACAGCAGCAUUUCUCAGAGUGGGGCUUCUGGACCAGAAGCAUCAGCACCACCUGGGAACUUGUUAGAAAUGCCAAUUCUUGAGCCUCUUUCCAGACCUACCGAAUUGGAAAGUCGGGGUUGAGGCCCAGCAGUGUGUUUUCACAAACCCUCCUGGGGAUUCCGAUGCACACCAAAGUUUGAGAGCUACACGUUUCUAAGAGACAAUCUAGGCAGACUAUACACAGGAAAUGGCUUUCCUUUCACAAAAAUGUUUAGUCCCUAGUGCCCUAAGGCAUCCACUGUAGAUAAUGGGUUACAUUCUCUCUCUGCAACUAGGAUGGUACUGGUAUGUACCAUCCCUGGGGAUUAUUGAGAAAAUAGUCAUCCAAAUAGUUGUCAUUGUUCUAUGAUUAAGUCCCCAGUGACAGUUUUGUUGCUGUCCACCAAUCAACUACUAAGCCAUUUGGUUACACAGCAGCACUUCACUUCGAGGAACCAGUUUUUGUAUGGAUAAAGAAAAUCUAAGUUACGCUGUGCCAGCAAGUCACUCCCUAGCUUCUCUGGCUUAGCAUAAUAAAGGAUUAUUUCUUGUUCCUAAUACACCUGCAACACAGCUUGGCAAGGAAACUCUAUUCCACGUAGUCACUCAGGGACGACGCUAAUGGGAUGUCUGUGUCAACACUUGCUUCCGUGAUCAUCACUAUGACAAGGGGAGUACAAGAUACGGUAAACUGCACUGGCUUUUAAAGCUUCCAUCUGGAAUUGACACAUAACCUUUUCUGUUUCAUUGGAGAAGUCACAUGGCCAAGUGUAACUUCAAAAGUGUGUGGGUAGUACAUCCUAUCCUGUUGUGCCCAGAAAAAGAACUGGAGUAUCUGAGAACAGCCCUCGUGACUGCUAUUCAAGGUUAUGAGUGGGCCACAAUGGCCAUCAUGCAAAGCUAUGUGUUCACAUUCAAGAAAUAGCAGGGCUGAGAGUUUCCAGUUUUUACCUUCUUUCACUAUCUCUUUGAUUAUAUUGACUCUCAAAUCUGCACCUUCCUUCCCAAGGUCUUUUUUGAUCAACCUUUUUCAUUUUCUUAAACUUAAAAAAAAAAAUUGAAGUUAAUAUACAUACAGGAAAGCACAUACGUGUGUCUACAGCCUGAUGAAUGGUCACAAAGUGAGCAUAACAGUGCAACUACCCCCCAGGCAAGAAAUUGACCAUUACCAGGAACUCACCAGCCCCAUUUGGGCUCCUUCCAGCUCCCUCAUGGCAACACUCCUGACUUCUAACACCAUCAGUUAUUUUUUUACACUCAUUCAUUCAACUAGUAUUUCUCAGCUAGGCACCGGAACUUCUCAGUCCUGGCAGAUGGUGUUACAAACCGAAGCGUGAGAUUUCAUCCUAGUAAGCUUCCUGUUGGAAGACUGGAUUUUUCUGGGGGUGGGGGUGACAUAUUUUAGGCAGGAUUGGGGGUGGGUGAGCUCUCUCAACUCUCAGGGAUUUUACCUAAUAAAUAUUUUCCUUAUUACCUGUUUAAGCACAUCCAGUACUUCCUAAAAGAGCAGAUGGGACCAUAGCAAGAAUCUCUUUGCUGCCUGACACAUGAGAAGUGGCCUGCCCAGCUGGCACUUGCUCUCCUACAACCAGCCUCAACAAGGCAUCGAGCUGCCUGCACCAGUGACAGCAAAGCAGCACCUGCCUGUCUGCAGCUCAGGGAUUUUCUCUGGCUCUCAGUGGCACAGCCUUAGCCUUCCAGGUGGUUUCCAGGGCUGGGUAACUAGUUCCUUCUGGGUUGGGGAAUGGGGAACAAGUGUAAAAGUUAUUUUGGCUCAAAUACAAGAUUGACAUUUGGUUUUAGAAAUAGGAAUAUUUGUUAUGCAGCUUCCAUUUUAUGAAAAUGAGGGAUAUGUUUUCCAUCCUCUUACCUAUUUAAUCAACAAAGGUCUUAAUGGAGAUGCAGUGGGCAGCUGGAUUCUUAAAAUGCCAGCUCCUUCCCAAUAUCCUCUAAAUCAGACAUUUCUGUCUAAGCAUGCACCUGCAAAAAUGAUACGUUGUUUUCCAGCUUCACUGCAAGAUCCCUGCCAGAAUUCAGGAUAGGUAUCUCAAGGAUAUCAUUACAAGUUCCAAAUAAUGCCAUCUUUCAUGCUUGAAAAGCCAUGACUGUCUGGUCCCUGCAGGGAGUAGCUGGUGCCUUCAGUGGGGAGGGGUUCGAGCGUGAGCAGCUCAGGAACAUUGUGGUCUACGGUUCAGCCACAUCCUUUGUGGUAAGAAACUGCAACAAAGUGUACUUUAUAUUUUUAUAAUCAGCUGGCUUUUAAAUUACAGCCAUGCUGAAUAAGAGCAGAGAAAACGUAUGAUUAGUAAUUUCCUUAUGCAGAAAGUAGAACAGUUUCUGGCUAAGGCCUAGGGCUUUAAAAAAAAAAAAAGGUGCUUUUAGUAAAAAAAAGAAAAUGGAAAACUCUUUAUUCCAAAGCCAAAGCAAUGGUUCAUGGCCUCCUUCUGAGCAGUAAUAGUCCAGCUCCACGAGGAAGUGGAAAUGGAAAAGAUUAGCUUGGGAAAAUAUUCUAAGAGCUGUCUGCCUGCCCAGCCACUGUCACCUAUAUACUGAGCUACCUUCUCUGGUCCUUACAAGCACGGAAAAAUGGAUCUGUGGCAGCCAUGGUUCCUGGACUUCUAGAAAUGACUAUAUUCCAGGAGAUGCAGAAAUGCUACUGAACAUGGAUGUGCAGCACCACAGAAAACCUAUGUGGGAUCCUGAUCACCAGUGGAAGGCCGGCUCUUUAUAGAGCUAAGAUGGAACAAAGAAAAUUCCCAGGCCCAGGAACCACCAGAGGUACUACCUUAUUUGCUCAAAAG